rnacentral:rRNA from 1 species
AGAGUUUGAUCCUGGCUCAGAACGAACGCUGGCGGCGCGUUUUAAGCAUGCAAGUCGAACGGUAGAGUAGUGCUUGCACUACUUGAGAGUGGCGCACGGGUGAGUAACACGUAGGUGAUCUACCUCCGGAUUGGGGAUAGCCCGUGGAAACACGGGUUAAUACCGGAUACGACCCUGAGACUGUCGUCUCAGGGGGAAAGGCCCUCAGGGGUCGUCCGGAGAUGAGCCUGCGGUCCAUUAGCUGGUUGGUGUGGUAAGGGCGCACCAAGGCGACGAUGGAUAUGCGGCCUGAGAGGGUGAACGGCCACACUGGGACUGAGACACGGCCCAUACUCCUACGGGAGGCAGCAGCUAAGAAUCUUCCGCAAUGGGCGAAAGCCUGACGGAGCGACGCCGCGUGAACGAAGAAGGCCGUGAGGUUGUAAAGUUCUUUUCCUGGGGAGGAAUAAGGCCUGGAGGGAAUGCCGGGCUGAUGACGUGAACCAGGGAAUAAGCCCCGGCUAAUUCCGUGCCAGCAGCCGCGGUAACACGGAAGGGGCAAGCGUUGUUCGGAUUUAUUGGGCGUAAAGGGCGUGUAGGCGGCAGUGCAAGUCUGGUGUGAAAUAUCCCGGCUCAACCGGGAAGACGCGCCGGAUACUGUGCUGCUUGAGUUUAGGAGGGGGAGCUGGAAUUCCUGGUGUAGGGGUGAAAUCUGUAGAUAUCAGGAAGAACACCGGAGGCGAAGGCGAGCUCCUGGCCAUAGACUGACGCUGAGGCGCGAAAGCGUGGGGAGCAAACAGGAUUAGAUACCCUGGUAGUC